UCUGUUCGGUGGAGAUGGGGUUGCUCGAGUUGCCGUUCUGAAGACAGCAUCAGGAGUGACAAAGCGAGCAGUAAGCAAGCUGUGUCUGCUUCCCCUUAAGGGAACGUUCUCUUUGUUUUGGAUCAAAAAAUCGAUUUUUUUUUUUGCAAAAAUUGAAAGCCACAUAUUCGUAGAGUAUGUGUGUGAAAGGAUUUUUCGAUACGAUGAAUAGUUUGUAAAUGAGAGCAGAACCAGAAGCAGUUCGAACUUGAAGAAGGAAUCCUCUAUGGUCCAGGGAUAUGCGACUAAAAUCCUGAUUUGACUACAAGAGGCUGCAGGCUCGGAAUUUUUGGACGAUGUUUGCCGUGCGGAGGCAGAUGAAAGCCGCCAUUUUGCAGCCGCCAUUU